GUUACCACCUUGAACGGCCGUCUGUACAGCUAAUACGCGGGUACCACCGCCGGCCCCGGAACAUUAUUGGGGUCCAGCGCCGCCGCCACCUCAGC